rnacentral:lncRNA from 1 species
AAUAAAAUAAAACAUUCCACCCUUACUCUCUCAUACUCCCCUUUUCCUGACCUCUUUCUUUACCUAAUAGAGGUAAUUGCUAUUAACUGUCCUUAGCAUAUAUAGGUAUAUAAAUACAUUUGACUCUAAAUUUUUUUAAAUAAAUGAGAUCAAAUUGUAUGAAGUGUUCUGCCAUUUGCUUUUUAAAAUGUGAUAUGUCUUGCAAAGGCCAGUUGUUCCUCUAUCUAGGUUAACCCACUCGGUGCUUUAAUAUCUUCAACUAUAAAAUGGAUGCAAAUGCCAGACUAAAAUUAGAAAUAUUUAUUAGAACUGAACUAUUUCUUAAGUAUUUAACUAAACAUUGAUAUAAAUUAUGUGAAAGCAAAUUUCACCCUUUUCAGUCUCAAAUAUACAUCUUUUCUGUUGCAGGUACACAUUGAAUGUGUUAUCGGAUCUUGGAGAGGGUGAAAAAGUAAA